GCGCCGUCCUGCGUGCUGCAGGGCACUCCGCACACUGAGAGGGGUAAAGAAAUGGCCACUGGUACCGACGGGGGUCUGCAAAAUCAGCGGUCGGUGCGUGCGUAGUUCUUCCUGUUUCAAAAAUCCGCCCUGCGUGUACUUAAUUGCCAUGCAUGUAUGUGCCCAUAGCCUUUUUUUUUUCCCUAUGAUACUAUUACAUGAGACAUGACUCACGGGAUGACACAUCUGUAGAGUGGAUAAUCUCAACUGUAUUAAUUUGGUGCAGGGGAAUUUCCACAGUAUCAGACAUAAACUGUUCUCAUAUGAUCUGCUUGCUUAUUAUGCUGUAAGUUUAAUUUACGGGAAUUUGUUCUAAUGCCACUUAAGACAAGUUUUGCUUGUGAGAGUUAAGCUAUCCUGCACUAAAAUCUUUAAAAUUGCAAAUAAAACCAUGAAAACACAGAGUAAUGUUUUACUUUAAAGUCUUUUGUACUCAUAAUUGUGCAGAACACUUAUUUGAGCCAUUUUUAGGUGGGGUCUUUUGAGAAUGUUUAUCUGGAGGAGCAUAUACAACUUGAGUUCCGAUGGUGGGAUCCCAGUGGUGGGAUCUAGUGUUGCAUAAAACUUGUAAUUUCAAAAUCUAAAUACACUGCCUCUUCCGGUUUUUCACUUGUAGAAAGCCAACUCUGUCCAUAUUUUCUUUCCCUCACCUGUUCUUUUUGCAUGUCACCUUCUCUCACACCUUGUGAAGACAGAACAGCUCCAUAAGAAGAUCAGGACAGAGCCAGACAGGUGUGAUACUGCCACUUGGAGAUCUGGGUGAACUCUAAAUUAGGAAAGCUACCACUUCAUUUGUUCCCUACUUUUCCUACAACAUGAUUCCUACACCAGCUCUUCUGUUUUUCUAUUUGCUGUGUGUUCCCACAGAUACAUAAUUCUCAUGGUCCAAAGGAAAAUGUAGUUUGAAAAGGUUUACUACCAGGGGUUUGGGUUAACCUUGAUGAUAUCAAUUCAACAUUGGGAUUAGAAACCUAGAAAGAAAGAUUUUUGAAAAGGCUCGAGAUUCCUCAAAGCUUCUGGCGCGUGAAACACCCCAGAAAAGUGUUUGUCUCCUGAACGUGUGUGAAGGAAUGGACCAGGAGAGGGGAUGCAACAGAAGGUAUGCACCUGUCAUAAUCAGCUUUGACUUGGAAAAAAACUAUGAAAAUAAUCAUCUUGCCUCUUGGCUUUCAGCAAUAUCUUCUGCCCUGGAUAUUUGCUCCCCUCCCCAGCUGGAAGAAUAUCCCACUGCUCAGUGACAAUUUGUACGUGUACAAAUCAUUGACCAAAUACCAAGUCAGGUGUACUUGGCCACUCUUUAAGAAACAAAAUGCCUGGGACUGUCAGAUAAGAAGUCCACAUGGCAGCUUUCCAAUUGUAUUUAUCCACUCCAACUAAUUGAGUCACAUAAAUUCUUUAGAGUCCUUAUCGUCCAUAUGUGUGUGAAGAAGUGAAGACCUGUUAUUUCUGCAAGAUAAUGGGAAAACUCCUAGUUUACCAAGAGAGCACAGGAAGCCUGUAGCAGAACCAGAAACAAAUCCACCAUCUAAGCUCCAGGCACCAGCAGAGUGACCCAUACUUCCUAUUUUCCCAAGUAUGACUUCCUUUCUGUUUUGUGGCUGCGCUGAUAUGGUUUUGCAUGAAAGCAGCAGCACAGUUGUCUUAUCUUGUGAGCUGAUGGGGAUUCUGACUUCUCAGUUGGAUCAUCCUGUCCUACAGCCCUUGCAAUGAGGCUGGCUACAGGAUACCUCUCUUACAGCAGAUUAAAGUGUGAUUGUAGCUAAGUGUGUUAACUAAAUGUGACUAACACAAUUAUACCAUCAGCAAAAACCAGGACAGUGCUUUAUGGUAUGCCAUCAGUCUGAAUGUUGGUGUGUAUCAUAAUGAUCCUUAGUCAGUUGUAGUCCAACUUCCAGCAUGUAAAAAUGCUACCUUGACUUUUCUGCACUUCUCUGCAUGAAGCAGAUCAGCUACAAGGUUAUAUAGUAUCUCUGAUUAUCAUAUUUUCCUCCCUCAAUGUUAACAUGCUUCCUGAACUGUAAGUAACCCAUAUUUACAUUGUAGAAAAUCAUAGAAUCAUUUAAUUCAGGAAUGAUCUGCUAUCACCCUUCUUCAGCAAUGAAAUUCUUGGGAUAUAGGACCCACUUGUGCACUUAUUAACUCAUUUUCAGGGUAAAUGAAAUUUUGAAAGAAAAGUUUGCUGAUGCAAACUCAUUUACCCUCAGACUUUUUUCCAGGACUUCUUCAAUGUGAAAGUAUUUUCAAGUGUAUGUAAACAUAAUUUAUUGAUAGCCUCCCUGGAAGGUUUCCAUCAGAGGUAUCCUCAAGACUAAAAGGAGUACAUUUUCAGUUUAAAAUCUAUAUGCUACUUUAGCAGUGAAACUUGAAAUUCAAGAAUUCUUGAAUAAGACCAACUCUGUCAGAUUCUAGAUUACUUCAUUGCUUAAUACAUUGCUUUAAUUGAGAAUAUUCUCUGAGUGGAUAUAUAAAGGAAAAGGAAAAAAAGAAAAAGGGAAAAAAAGCAAAGGUAACAGUGACUGGCAGCUUUGUUGUAUGGAAUGUUAAAGACAAAAUUCUUCUUCCUGAGACAGCAAAUAUUUUCUGCCUUAACAAUAGAAAGACAAAAUAAAAAAAUCUGCAGCACUUACAAAACAAUGUAACUUGUAGCAUCACAGCUAUGCAUCUGAUCUACAUUUGGGCUUGGUAAUUUGUUCUAAACUAUGACCAAAAAAAGAGAGAAAGAGAAAAGAUAGGUAGAGCAAUUAACAACACUCCCCUCUCCCCCACUGAUGAUAACUUAAUGAUAAAAAAACUUUGGGGCUUUUUUCCUUUAAAUACACAUAUUUUUUCUCAUUGUAUUUCAUCACACCCUCUGUAUUGAUGUCCAAGUCCUAAAUCAUAUGCAUAAUUUUCAAGACUGUAUUCUUAAAUCAUAUGCAUAAUUUUCAAGACUGUAUUCUAUGCUGAACACACUGGAGUAUUUUAGGAAAUGCAUAAAUGUAAAGAUAAGAUAUGUGAUAUCACACAUCCUGUAAUUCCAUUAUAAUUUGUUGAUGUGUUGCCAACAAAUCUGUUUCAACUUCUGGUUCAGAACUGAUGUUUUCUAUUGGAAGUUGGUCACUCCUGUACAAAUGUAUUAGCCCCACUUCAAGCUUAAUGCUGAAAAGAAUUCAGAAAUAACCCUGGGAACAUUUAGUAUUUCCUUGAAAAAGCUGUGGAUUGUCAUUAACUGACAAACAGUCCGCUGCCAAGUUCUUGCAAGAAUUGUAUUUGUUGUCUGAUGCCAAACAUCCUCUUUAAAUGCUAAUGAACAAAGUAUGGCAUGCAUUCUGUUCUUGAUGGAUUAUGCCUAUACCUUCUGUGGUCAACAGAAGGGGAAUUCCCGGCCCAUAUGAUUUCCAUUCUGGCAGGCAACUCUUUUCUCUGCUUACAAGGCAGUAAGCACUCAAAUAGAUUAGUCAAUCUUAUUUUUACAUUAAGUAUAGCCUCCGCACCCUAAUUCGCAUGUAUGAAAUCUGGAGGAACCGUGCCAGGCUGCCUACGCACUGUAUGAGUUUUGUUUUCUUUAGAGGAUUAAGCUUCUGACUUAGUAUCACUGAUGCUCACUGUAUACUGAUAUGCCUUUUAAAUUCAAACAUGAAUGUUUCAUAAACAGCUGAUUUGCAUGUUUGUCUUUAGCUCUUUGGAGACAGAUUUAAGGAAUUAGAUUUUUUAAUUGUCUUCUUUAGUGGUUUUCAUAAUUUCCUGUAACAGAAAGAGCUGGCUUGGUACAGAAAUACAUUAAAGAACAGUACCUUACUACCAUGUGUACAUGAAGUCUUACAGCCAGUAGGAGGUCCAGAUUUGUGUAUAUCAAUAUCUUUGAUUACACCUUCAAGCCCAGCUUUCCAAGAAGACUAAAUUAUGCAGGAAAUAGCAAGCUCGGGAGUUGUGCACUGAAUAAUUUUUAUGUGAUAUGAUAUUUUAAUUUGUUUUAAUUAUCAUUCAGUAACUGCUGUUAGUCAGAUGAUCCUCUUUAACUAGUUUAUGAUCUGCUGAAAAGGAAGAAAAAGCUCUUGUAGGAUAAUAGCAACCUUCAAGCUAUAGGUGCAAUACAACUGAUCUUUAGUUAAAAUGCACAACUACAAGGUAGAAAACAUGCCAUUAAUAGAAAUAAAAAGUAAUAGAAGUGAAUAGGAAAAAAUUACAACAGUAUUUUUUUUAACCUCGAUGAAGGAAUUUUUCCUUUUAGAUGGGCCGCUAUACAUUUCUCAAAAACUGACAUUUGAGGCUGAAUCCAGAUGAUUCUAAUAUGGAACUAAACUGUUUGUGGUCUUCCUGCAACUUUACAAAUAGCUUUGCUAGAUAAUAUGAAAUAAAAAUUUAAUUAGCUCAUCAGGAAGAGAAGCUUUCAAUAAAAUAUGAGUUUGUAGGGGGGAAAAAAAGCAUCUACAUACCUAUACACAUAGGAGGAAUAGUUUUUUUUCUCUAUUAUAUAUGGACCCAUCAAGACCAGGUUGGAUGAGUCUUUGAGCAACCUGGUCUAAUGGAAGUUGUCCCUGCCAAGGGCAGAGAAUUGAAACGAGAUGAUUUUUAAGGUCCCUUUCAACCCAAACCAUUUUAUGAUUCCAUGAGCUCUGGAAAUUGUGCUUCUGCAUCGAGAAAGCAUACUUCUGAGUUAGUGAGAAAUUUGGUCAAAGCUUCUCCUCUCUGUGGAGAAAAAAAGACCUCAGUGCCUUUUGAAUGAAAUUCCUAUGGAGAAAAGGUGGAAAAAAAAAAAGAAGAAAGAAAAGUAGCAAAAGUAUUCUGUGUCCUGUGUCUCUAAUUUACUGGAAGAGCUGGAAAAUCAAGAUCUCCUGUCAUCUUAUAUUCAGAAUCAUUUAUUAAAUGGAUAACCAUACCUAUAGGUAUUAAUUUUACAAGAAAACAAUUUUUUUUAUGGCCUCGCUCUCUUUUGAAAUGAGCAAUUUCUUCUAGUCUUCCAGCUAUUUAUAGUAAGACCUUUAUAAGCUCAAACUAAUUAAUAAACGAGAUCAAUUUCAAGAUUUUUUUCCUUGUUCAAAACCACAUAAUCAUUCAUUUCAGUAACAUUUUAAAGGCCAUGUCUAAAAUAGAUUUGCACCCAUGUCCCCAAUGUGAAUUUUUCACUCUUUGGCAGCAUGCAAUAGGUAGUGUAUAAUGACCUUUUCUCUGUUUGGAACAGGGAUUAGAAUAAUAUAUUUGACCCUUUUUACUCACCUGGGAGUGAUGCUAGUCUCCAUGUUCAAUGAAGUAAAAUAUGUCUCUAGUGUCCCAAGGUUAAGGCCAUGACUUUAAACUAUUUAACACAAGCCAUCAGGCUGAUUCACCUCAGUCAGUCUCUAUAGAGUGGUUGGUUUUAGUUUUUCUUUUUUCUCUUUUCUAUUAGGCUGCAUUAUAUAUACUUCAUCACAACUAUUUCUUAUCCACAACGCAAUUAAGGGAAAUAUUUUGCAUUACAAACAAAGCAAGUUAACCUGGUCACAUUGAGCAUUAUAACAAAAUUUAUGGCUGCAUAAAUGGCAGUGUAAACUUACAGAAAGACUGGUAAUUAUAGUGCCAUUGAUGGUCUUUGUUGCUUUAAUUCUGAAGCAGCCAGAAUGAUUAAACUGAAUCUUAAUCGACUUCUCCAUUAAAAAUGCUGGCAGAGAAGCUCCCUUAACCUUUCUCAUUGAUUGAACACAACAAUCACCAUUCAAUUAUAAUGCAAAAGGACAUUUGUUAUAAUGUACGAAAGAUGCAUGAGCCAUUUCCUUUUACUCAAGACAAUCAAUGAGAUGACUCCUACCUCAAAGAAGGUAAGGUGAAGCUACUGUACCUGGAAGAGCAUUCAAGUCAAACAGAACUCAGAUAACUGCAAACACUACAGUUUUCAGGGAAUGGCAGAUUACCUAAGUGGAAAUAAAGCAAGCAGUUCCUCACUCUACGAAAAAUAAAUAUCCUCUAUUAUAAAAAAGAGAUAAGAAUAUAGAAUUGCAAGUAAAUUCCUAUUUUAUAAAACUAAGUGAAACUCACGUGAAAAUAACUAGAAUUCACACACGGAUGUUUUAAUUUUAAUGAUUUUUUAAUAUCUUAAUUUUUUGCUUAGGAAGAAUAUUUUCUGUA